CCUACGGGAGGCAGCAGUAAGGAAUAUUGGUCAAUGGACGAAAGUCUGAACCAGCCAUGCCGCGUGAAGGAUGAAGGCCCUCUGGGUUGUAAACUUCUUUUAUCUGGGACGAAAAAAGGGCUUUCUAGCUCACUUGACGGUACCAGAGGAAUAAGCACCGGCUAACUCCGUGCCAGCAGCCGCGGUAAUACGGAGGGUGCAAGCGUUAUCCGGAUUCACUGGGUUUAAAGGGUGCGUAGGUGGGUCUGUAAGUCAGUGGUGAAAUCUCCGAGCUUAACUCGGAAACUGCCAUUGAUACUAUAGGUCUUGAAUCAUCUGGAGGUAAGCGGAAUAUGUCAUGUAGCGGUGAAAUGCUUAGAUAUGACAUAGAACACCAAUUGCGAAGGCAGCUUACUACGGGUGCAUUGACACUGAGGCACGAAAGCGUGGGGAUCAAACAGGAUUAGAUACCCUGGUAGUCCACGCCCUAAACGAUGGAUACUCGACAUCAGCGAUACACUGUUGGUGUCUGAGCGAAAGCAUUAAGUAUCCCACCUGGAAGUACGACCGCAAGGUUGAAACGUCAAAGAGUAGUACGACGAGAGAGAGCGACGACGACGACGACGGAGGGAGGAG
rnacentral:rRNA from 1 species